rnacentral:rRNA from 1 species
CAGUAGCCGCGGUAAUACGUAGGGUGCAAGCGUUAAUCGGAAUUACUGGGCGUAAAGCGUGCGCAGGCGGUUAUAUAAGACAGAUGUGAAAUCCCCGGGCUCAACCUGGGAACUGCAUUUGUGACUGUAUAGAUAGAGUACGGCAGAGGGGGAUGGAAUUCCGCGUGUAGCAGUGAAAUGCGUAGAUAUGCGGAGGAACACCGAUGGCGAAGGCAAUCCCCUGGGCCUGUACUGACGCUCAUGCACGAAAGCGUGGGGAGCAAACAGGAUUAGAUACCCCCGUAGUCCCUGUCUCUUAUAC